UACGGAAUGUGCAAACGUUAUUCGGAAUCACUGGGCUUAAAGAGUCCGUAGGCGGCAUGUUAGGUGAGGUGUGAAAUCCCACGGCCCAACCGUGGAACUGCGCUUCAAACCGGCGUGCUUGAGGAAGAUAGAGGUGGGCGGAACUGAUGGUGGAGCGGUGAAAUGCGUUGAUAUCAUCAGGAACACCGGAGGCGAAGGCGGCCCACUGGGCCAGUACUGACACUGAGGAGCGAAAGCGUGGGUAGCAAACAGG
rnacentral:rRNA from 1 species